AAGUAGCAAGUCAACUUAUUAAUACAAAUAUUUAUUUUAAGUAGCAAUCAGUUUAUUAGAUGCAUGAAUUAAUCAGUAGCUGAUUCUAAGUGGCAAAAUUAUGAUGCAGAGAUUAAUAUCUAAAGCGGAGUUGAAUUAGGGUAGCAAGUAGCAUAUGCAAUAGAUUAUUAGUAGCUGAUUUUGUCCGGGCAGAUUAGUUUAGAUAGAAAUAUAUGGGCAGAAAAGCAAUAGUCAAUUAUCAAUGUUUAUUCUAAAUGGCCAGAAAACAAUUAUGCCAUUGAACAGUGGCAAAAUUUUAAAACAAAAUGCUAUUUAAUUAAUUAACAUGCUGAAAAACGGAUUUAUAAACCUAUAUACAUGAUUUCUAUGUAAGACAUAAUAUAUUUCAGGAACCUAUAGGCAUGAUUUCUAGAUGUAAACAAAUUUAUGAACACUUACGGGCAUUUUAUUGACAUGCAAAUAUUUGAUUCAAUCCUAUAGGCAUGGCUUCUAAGUUAAAUCACAUAUGUGACAUAUUGAGCAAAUCAAUUAUUUAUUUUACCAGUUUUAUACAUUUUAUACAAGAAAAUUGUGGUUCACCAACACGGUAACAUAGAUCAACUUGUAAAGGUCACACUAAUUAUUUAUUAUUACAUGCUAAGAUUGCAUUAUAACAAGUUUAUUACUUAUUUUAGAUAUAAUUAGUUAACAUGAAAUGGUCAACAUAGAACGUAUUUACAACUUAAAGCAAUUAAAUAUCGGCAAGACCAUUUUAUUUUAAGUAAAUUUAGAGCAAGGAAUGACCACACAAUUAAAUCACACUCCUAUGAGCUUGUUCUCUAACAAGUUGUGAUAAUAUAACAAGUAGCAUGUAAACCCCUCCCCCUUUAGACGAUCCCCCAA
rnacentral:lncRNA from 1 species